AAGUCGAACGGCAGCACGGGUACUUGUACCUGGUGGCGAGUGGCGAACGGGUGAGUAAUACAUCGGAACGUACCUUAUCGUGGGGGAUAACGCAGCGAAAGCUGUGCUAAUACCGCAUACGCCCUGAGGGGGAAAGCGGGGGAUCGAAAGACCUCGCGCGAUUAGAGCGGCCGAUGCUUGAUUAGCUUGUUGGUGGGGUAAAAGCCCACCAAGGCGACGAUCAAUAGCUGGUCUGAGAGGACGAUCAGCCACACUGGGACUGAGACACGGCCCAGACUCCUACGGGAGGCAGCAGUGGGGAAUAUUGGGCAAUGGACGCAAGUCUGACCCAGCGACGCCGCGUGAGGGAUGAAGGCCUUCGGGUUGUAAACCUCUUUCAGUAGGGAAGAAGCGAAAGUGACGGUACCUACAAAAGAAGCACCGGCUAAC
rnacentral:rRNA from 1 species